UUGAUUUGAUCUUGCCCGCUGCAUUGUUUGUUGUAGUAGCAAUUGGCCCGCGGCCUGCCCAGUAGAAUCCAAUAAGCGGCACGUGAAAGCAGCAAAAGACCCCUGGGCCCAACAAAAAGCAGUGAAAGCAGUAGCUAACGAAGGAGUUUCUCUCUGGGCCUGCAGUUAAUUGCGUCACUUUGGGCAAGGCCCAUGACGACCCAGGGCGGCCCGUCUGCGAAUGUAUACGGGUCAGAUACGACGUG
rnacentral:lncRNA from 1 species